GACGAACGCUGGCGGCGUGCCUAAUACAUGCAAGUCGAACGCAGUGGGGACGGGUGAGUAACACGUGGGUAACCUCCCAUCAGAGGGGAUAAAACUUGGCAACAGGUGCAAAACCGCUACUGAUGGAUGGACCCGCGGUGCAAUAGCUAGUUGGCGAGGUAACGGCUCACCAAGGCCACGAUGCAUAACCGACAGUAGAGGGUGACCGGCCACACUGUGACUGAGACACGGCCCAGACUCUUACGUGAGGCGGCAGUAGGGUAUCUUCGGCAAUGGGCGAAAGUCUGACCGAGCAACGCCGAGUGAGUGAAGAAGGUUUUCGGAUUGUAAAGCUCUUUUGUUAGAGAAGCGGUAUCUAACCAGGAAGCCACGACUAACGACGUGCCAGCCGCCGCGGUAAUAC
rnacentral:rRNA from 1 species